rnacentral:rRNA from 1 species
AUCAACGCUGGCGGCGUGCCUCAGACAUGCAAGUCGAACGCGAAAGUUGCCUUCGGGCGACCGGUAGAGUGGCGCACGGGUGAGUAACACGUGGGUAAUUUACCUCCGAGUGGGGAAUAACCAUCGGAAACGAUGGCUAAUACCGCAUAACAUCCGCAAGGAUCAAAGCUUUAUGUGCUUGGAGAGAAGCCCGCGGCAGAUUAGCUAGUUGGUAAGGUAAUGGCUUACCAAGGCAACGAUCUGUAUCCGGUCUAAGAGGACGGUCGGACACACUGACACUGAAUAACGGGUCAGACUCCUACG